rnacentral:lncRNA from 1 species
GUGUGCAAUACUCAGAGACAUGGCCAAGGUAAGAAAGGCUGAAAGACGACCACCACUGAACAAGACACACAAGCUGAAACGUCAAGACUGGGCCAAGAAAUAUCUCAAGACUGAUUUUUCUAAGGUUUUAUGGACUGAUGAAAUGAGAGUGAGUCUUGAUGGGCCAGAUGGAUGGGCCCGUGGCUGGAUUGUUAAAGGGCAGAGAGCUCCAGUCCAACUCAGACGCCAGCAAGGUGGAGGUGGAGUACUGGUUUGGGCUGGUAUCAUCAAAGAUGGGGCCUUUUCGGGUUGAGGAUGGAGUCAAGCUCAACUCCCAGUCCUACUGCCAGUUCCUGGAAGACACCUUCUUCAAGCAGUGGUACAGGAAGAAGUCUGCAUCCUUCAAGAAAAACAUGAUUUUCAUGCAGGACAAUGCUCCAUCACACGCGUCCAAGUACUCCACAGCGUGGCUGGCAAGAAAGGGUAUAAAAGAAGAAAAUCUAAUGACAUGGCCUCCUUGUUCACCUGAUCUUAACCCCAUUGAGAACCUGUGGUCCAUCAUCAAAUGUGAGAUUUACAAG